rnacentral:misc_RNA from 1 species
GAUGAAGAACGCAGCGAAAUGCGAUAAGUAGUGUGAAUUGCAGAAUUCCGUGAAUCAUCGAAUCUUUGAACGCACAUUGCGCCCCUUGGUAUUCCAUGGGGCAUGCCUGUUCGAGCGUCAUUUGUACCUUCAAGCUCUGCUUGGUGUUGGGUGUUUGUCUCGCCUCUGCGUGUAGACUCGCCUCAAAACAAUUGGCAGCCGGCGUAUUGAUUUCGGAGCGCAGUACAUCUCGCGCUUUGCACUCAUAACGACGACGUCCAAAAGUACAUUUUUACACUCUUGACCUCGGAUCAGGUAGGGAUACCCGCUGAACUUAAGCAUAUCAAUAAGCGGAGGA